rnacentral:rRNA from 1 species
GUCGAACACUGGCGGCGUGCCUAAUACAUGCAAGUAGAACGCAGAUGCGAACGGGGGAGUAACACGUAUGUAACUGCCUCAUAGCGGGGGAUAACUAUUGGAAACGAUAGCUAAUACACCAUACUGUUAGAUGGACCUGCGUGGGAUUAGCUAGUUGGUGAGGUAAAGGCUCACCAAGGCGUCGUUACAUAGCAGACCUGAGAGGUGGAUCGGCCAAACUGGGACUUAGACACGGCCCAGACUCCUACGGGAGGCAGCAGUAGGGAAGCUUCGGCAAUGGACUGAAGUCUGACCGAUCAAUGCCGCGGGAGUGAAGAAGUUUUUCGGAUCGUAAAGCACUGUUGUUAGAGAAGGGGUAACUAACAAGAAGGGGACGGCUAACUACGUGCAAGCAGCCGCGGUAAAC